rnacentral:rRNA from 1 species
CCUACGGGAGGCAGUAGUAGGGAAUCUUCCACAAUGGACGAAAGUCUGAUGGAGCAACGCCGCGUGAGUGAAGAAGGGUUUCGGCUCGUAAAGCCCUGUUGGUAGUGAAGAAAGAUAGAGGUAGUAACUGGCCUUUAUUUGACGGUACUUACUUAGUAAGUCCCGGCUAACUACGUUCCAGCAGCCGCGGUAAUACGUAGGUGGCAAGCGUUGCCCGGAUUUAUGGGGCGUAAAGCGAGUGCAGGCGGUUCAAUAAGUCUGAUGUGAAAGCCUUCGGCUCAACCGGAGAAUUGCAUCAGAAACUGUUGAACUUGAGUGCAGAAGAGGGAGGUAGAACUCCAUGUGUAGCGGUGGAAUGCGUAGAUAUAUGGAAGAACACCAGUGGCGAAGGCGGCUCUCUGGGCUGCAACUGACGCUGAGGCUCGAAAGCAUGGGUAGCGAACAGGAUUAGAUACCCCAGUAGUC